CUACGGGACGCUGCAGUGGGGAAUAUUGGACAAUGGGGGAAACCCUGAUCCAGCAACGCCGCGUGGAGGAUGACGCAUUUCGGUGUGUAAACUCCUUUUAUAUGUCAAGAAAAUGACGGUAGCAUAUGAAUAAGCACCGGCUAACUCCGUGCCAGCAGCCGCGGUAAUACGGAGGGUGCAAGCGUUACUCGGAAUCACUGGGCGUAAAGGACGCGUAGGCGGGUUGGAAAGUCAGGUGUGAAAUCCUACAGCUUAACUGUAGAACUGCACUUGAAACUUCUAAUCUAGAGUAUGGGAGGGGGAGAUGGAAUUAGUGGUGUAGGGGUAACAUCCGUAGAUAUCACUAGGAAUACCUAAAGCGAAGGCGAUCUCCUGGAACAUUACUGACGCUAAGGCGUGAAAGCGUGGGGAGCAAACAGGAUUAGAUACCCGGGUAGUC
rnacentral:rRNA from 1 species